GACGAACGCUGGCGGCGUGCUUAACACAUGCAAGUCGAGCGGAAAGGCCACUUCGGUGGUACUCGAGCGGCGAACGGGUGAGUAACACGUGAGUAAUCUGCCCCUCACUUUGGGAUAGCCACCGGAAACGGUGAUUAAUACCGGAUAUGACCAUAUGUCGCAUGGCGUGUGGUGGAAAGUUUUUCGGUGAGGGAUGUGCUCGCGGCCUAUCAGCUUGAUGGUGAGGUAAUGGCUCACCAUGGCUUCGACGGGUAGCCGGCCUGGGAGGGUGACCAGUCACAAUAGGACUGAGACACGGCCCAGACUCCUACGGGAGGCAGCAGUGGGGAAUAUUGGACAAUGGGCGGAAGCCUGAUCCAGCAACGCCGCGUGAGGGAUGACGGCCUUCGGGUUGUAAACCUCUUUCAGUACCGACGAAGCGCAAGUGACGGUAGGUACAGAAGAAGCACCGGCCAACUACGUG
rnacentral:rRNA from 1 species